CCUACGGGUGGCAGCAGUGAGGAAUAUUGGUCAAUGGACGCAAGUCUGACCCAGCCAAGUCGCGUGAAGGAUGACUGCCCUAUGGGUUGUAAACUUCUUUUAUAUGGGAAUAAACUGUUCCACGUGUGGGAUUUUGUAUGUACCAUAUGAAUAAGGAUCGGCUAACCCAGUGCCAGCAGACGCGGUAAUACGGAGGAUCCGAGCGUUAUCCGGAUUUGUUGGGUUUAAAGGGAGCGUAGGUGGAGUGUUAAGUCAGUUGUGAAAGUUUGCGGCUCAACCGUAAAAUUGCAUUUGAAACUGGCAGUCUAGAGUACAGUAGAGGUGGGCAGAAUUCGUGGUGUAGCGGUGAAAUGCUUAGAUAUGACGAAGAACUCCGAUGGCGAAGGCAGUUCACUGGACUGCAACUGACACUGAGGCGCGAAAGUGUGGGUAGCAAACAGGAUUAGAUACCCGUGUAGUC
rnacentral:rRNA from 1 species